rnacentral:rRNA from 1 species
UACGGAGGGUGCAAGCGUUAUCCGGAUUCACUGGGUUUAAAGGGUGCGUAGGUGGGCAGUUAAGUCAGUGGUGAAAUCUCCGGGCUCAACCCGGAAACUGCCAUUGAUACUAUCUGUCUUGAAUAUCGUGGAGGUAAGCGGAAUAUGUCAUGUAGCGGUGAAAUGCUUAGAUAUGACAUAGAACACCAAUUGCGAAGGCAGCUUCUACCCGAAUAUUGACACUGAUGCACGAAAGCGUGGGGGAUCAAACAGG